GUGUCCAGUGUGAGGUGCAGCUGGUGGAGUCUGGGGGAGCCUUGGUCAGGCCUGGGGGGUCUCUGAGACUCUCCUGUGCAGCCUCUGGAUUCACCUUUGAUGACUACUACAUGCACUGGGUCCGCCAGGCUCCAGGGAAGGGGCUGGAGUGGGUCUCAGGCAUUAGUUACAGUGGUGGUAGCACAUACUACGCCGAGUCUGUGAAGGGCCGCUUCACCAUCUCCAGGGACAACGCCAAGAACACGCUGUCUCUGCAAAUGAACAGCCUGAGAGCCGAGGACACUGCCGUGUAUUACUGUGCAAGAGACACAGUGAGGGGAAGUU